rnacentral:rRNA from 1 species
CUACGGGAUGCAGCAGGUUAGAAUUCUUUCCAAUGCACGAAAGUGUGAGAAGGGAAUCCCAAGUGCCUUGCCUCUGGUAAGGCUUUUGUCAAGUGUAAGUAGCUUGAUGAAUAAGUGGUGGGCAAGACCGGUGCCAGCGGCCGCGGUAACACCGGCGCCACAAGUGGCAAUCCUUUUUAUUGGGCCUAAAGCGUCCGUAGCUGGUUUGAUAAAUUUCUUGUGAAAUUGUGGGGCUCAACCUUACAACGUGCAAGAAAAACUGUCAGACUUGGAACCGGGAGGGGGUAGGAGUGUUCCAUGGGGAGCGGUAAAAUGUGAUGAUCCUUGGAAGACUACCUGUGGCGAAGGCGCCUACCUAGAACGGGUUCGACAGUCAGGGACGAAGGCUGAGGGAGCGAUCAGGAUUAGAUACCCGAGUAGUC